CCUCACUACCACAAAUUAUGCAGUCAAGUUUCUCGCAUCUGGGGAAAUCGAAGGGGUCAGCACAUCCGACGUGCAAUGGAUAAGCCUCGCCCUGGGAAAACCACCUUCGUGAUUCUGACGGAAGAGCACAGGU